UACGUAGGCAGCGAGCGUUGUUCGGAGUUACUGGGCGUAAAGGGUGUGUAGGCGGUCCCUUAAGUUUGGUGUGAAAUCUCCCGGCUCAACUGGGAGGUGCGCCGGAUACUGAGGGCUAGAGUGCGGGAAGGGAAAGUGGAAUUCCUGGUGUAGCGGUGAAAUGCGUAGAUAUCAGGAGGAACACCGGUGGUGCAAACGGCUUUCUGGACCGUAACUGACGCUGAGAACACGAAAGCGUGGGGGAGCAAACAGG
rnacentral:rRNA from 1 species